UUUAUUGGAGAGUUUGAUCCUGGCUCAGGAUGAACGCUGGCGGCGUGCCUAAUACAUGCAAGUCGAGCGAAUGGAUUAAGAGCUUGCUCUUAUGAAGUUAGCGGCGGACGGGUGAGUAACACGUGGGUAACCUGCCCAUAAGACUGGGAUAACUCCGGGAAACCGGGGCUAAUACCGGAUAACAUUUUGAACCGCAUGGUUCGAAAUUGAAAGGCGGCUUCGGCUGUCACUUAUGGAUGGAUCCGCGUCGCAUUAGCUAGUUGGUGAGGUAACGGCUCACCAAGGCAACGAUGCGUAGCCGACCUGAGAGGGUGAUCGGCCACACUGGGACUGAGACACGGCCCAGACUCCUACGGGAGGCAGCAGUAGGGAAUCUUCCGCAAUGGACGAAAGUCUGACGGAGCAACGCC
rnacentral:rRNA from 1 species